rnacentral:rRNA from 1 species
AUGAAAGAUAUGUUGCUCAAGAAGAUGGUCCUGGGUGUUGUUGUUGCUUAUGUGUACGUAGUAAAGUUCCAGAAGAGAGGCCUCCCCCACGCACAUUUUUUGUUGAUCAUGGAUUCAACGUAUAAGCUUCUUGUCCCAGAGCAGUAUGACCGACUCAUUUCCGCAGAGCCCCCAGACAAGCAGAAGUAUCCGGAAUUGUAUGCAAUGGUGGUAAAACAUAUGAUGCAUGGACCAUGCGGUGCUCUCAACCCGAAGAAUGUUUGCAUGCAAGAUAAUGAAUGCAAAUGCAGAUACCCACGGCCGUUCAAUGAGAACACGGUACAAGGCAAGGACUCAUACCUAGUUUAUCAGCGUAGAGACGAUGGUAGACGCGCUAAGGUUCGAGGGAAAAUGUUGGACAACUGA